AUAAAACCAAGUACUUGCUCAUGCUCAACCCGAUAUGGGCAAAGUAAAGUCUCUGAGCAUUUACUCAAAACCGUAUGAAUAAAACGAUACUUUGCUCAGAGUAAGUUCGAAUUUCGAACAUAGCUUUUACUCUGUCAAAAAUGUUGUUUUGUUUUGGCCCGCGAGGAAGAAGAAUCCCAGCGGUGCAAAAAAAAGUAUCUUUGAGGAUCUUUAUGUUGUUGCCGGUUGCUGGGGCCAUACAACAACCCGGCGGUGUUCCGUCCGCGAAUAGAUUCUACCUUGCGCCGCAUAAGCCACCGAUGGAUGCAGCAGAUUCGUACGCAAAGCUCCCAUCGAUUGGCAUUGAGCCAACAGGUGCGCAAGUGCAUGAAAUCAAGCGAUACGAGUCUCUAUGGCGCAGCACAAUUGAUAAGAUCACGGAAACCUCAAUAUCAAAACCAGUUGACCGGAUUAGCCGCUAGUGAAGGAGGUUCCACGAGUCAAAGCAAUGGGUCCGUAUCAAAUGUUACAAAUGUCGUGGAGCCCUGACUGAAACAAUAAAUAGAAUAUGCUGCAGAACUCAA